rnacentral:rRNA from 1 species
AGUGAACGCUGGCGGUAGGCCUAACACAUGCAAGUCGAACGGCAGCACAGUAAGAGCUUGCUCUUACGGGUGGCGAGUGGCGGACGGGUGAGGAAUUCAUCGGAAUCUACUUUUUCGUGGGGGAUAACGUAGGGAAACUUACGCUAAUACCGCAUACGACCUACGGGUGAAAGCAGGGGAUCUUCGGACCUUGCGCGAUUGAAUGAGCCGAUGUCGGAUUAGCUAGUUGGCGGGGUAAAGGCCCACCAAGGCGACGAUCCGUAGCUGGUCUGAGAGGAUGAUCAGCCACACUGGAACUGAGAUACGGUCCAGACUCCUACGGGAGGCAGCAGUGGGGAAUAUUGGACAAUGGGCGCAAGCCUGAUCCAGCCAUACCGCGUGGGUGAAGAAGGCCUUCGGGUUGUAAAGCCCUUUUGUUGGGAAAGAAAAGCAGCAGGUUAAUACCCCGCUGUUCUGACGGUACCCAAAGAAUAAGCACCGGCUAACUUCG